rnacentral:rRNA from 1 species
AUUGAACGCUGGCGGCAUGCCUUACACAUGCAAGUCGAACGGUAACGCGGGGCAACCUGGCGACGAGUGGCGAACGGGUAAGUAAUGUAUCGGAACGUGCCCAGUUGUGGGGGAUAACUGCUUGAAAGAGCAGCUAAUACCGCAUACGACCUGAGGGUGAAAGCGGGGGAUCGCAAGACCUCGCGCAAUUGGAGCGGCCGAUAUCAGAUUAGGUAGUUGGUGGGGUAAAGGCUCACCAAGCCAACGAUCUGUAGCUGGUCUGAGAGGACGACCAGCCACACUGGGACUGAGACACGGCCCAGACUCCUGUGGGAGGCAGCAGUGGGGAAUUUUGGACAAUGGACGCAAGUCUGAUCCAGCCAUGCCGCGUGCGGGAAGAAGGCCUUCGGGUUGUAAACCGCUUUUGUCAGGGAAGAAACGCUCUGGGUUAAUACCUCGGGGUAAUGACGGUACCUGAAGAAUAAGCACCGGCUAACUACGUGCCAGCCGCCGCAGUAAUAC